rnacentral:rRNA from 1 species
GUCCAGACUCCUACGGGAGGCAGCAGUGGGGGAUAUUGCACAAUGGGGGGAACCCUGAUGCAGCGACGCCGCGUGAGUGAAGAAGUCAUUCGUGAUGUAAAGCUCUCUCAGCAGGGAAGAAAAUGACGGUACCUGACCAAGAAGCCCCGGCUAACUGCGUGCCGGCAGCCGCGGUAAUACGUAGGGGGCAAGCGUUAUCCGGAUUUACUGGGUGUAAAGGGAGCGUAGACGGUUGCGCAAGUCUGGAGUGAAAGGCGGGGGCCCAACCCCCGGACUGCUCUGGAAACUGUGUAACUGGAGUGCAGGAGAGGUAAGUGGAAUUCCUAGUGUAGCGGUGAAAUGCGUAGAUAUUAGGAGGAACACCAGUGGCGAAGGCGGCUUACUGGACUGUAACUGACGUUGAGGCUCGAAAGCGUGGGGAGCAAACAGGAUUAGAUACCCCCGUAA